rnacentral:rRNA from 1 species
AAUCUCUUAUCGAGGAUCCAUUGGAGGGCAAGUCUGGUGCCAGCAGCCGCGGUAAUUCCAGCUCCAAUAGCGUAUAUUAAAGUUGUUGCAGUUAAAACGCUCGUAGUCGGAUUUCGAAGCACGCUCACGGGGUCGGUUCUUGCUGUUCCUGUGGGGGUGUCUUCUUAUUCUGGGACGCGGUGUGCGGGACUUGAUUGUCUCUGCACAUCUGCGGGCCGGACGUUUACUGUGAAGAAAUUAGGGUGUUCAAAGCAGGCGUUUGCUAUGAAUACGUGAGCAUGGAAUAAUAGAAUAGGACUUGGGCUCUAUUUUGUUGGUUUCCGGAGAACAAGUAAUGAUUAAUAGGGACAGUUGGGGGCAUUCGUAUUUCAUUGUCAGAGGUGAAAUUCUUGGAUUGAUGGAAGACGAACAACUGCGAAAGCAUCUGCCAAGGAUGUUUUCAUUGAUCAAGAACGAAAGUUAGGGGAUCGAAGACGAUCAGAUACCGUCGUA